UACAGAGGGUGCGAGCGUUAAUCGGAAUUACUGGGCGUAAAGCGUGCGUAGACGGUUUCGUAAGUCGGGUGUGAAAUCCCCCGGGCUCAACCUGGGAAUUGCAUUCGAAACUGCGAGGCUAGGGUACGGAAGAGGAAAGUGGAAUUCCUGGUGUAGCGGUGAAAUGCGCAGAUAUCAGGAAGAACACCAGUGGCGAAAGGCAGGUCUUCUGGGACCGUACUGACGCUGAGAACGAGAACGUGGGGAGCGAACAGG
rnacentral:rRNA from 1 species